CGCCUGUUUAUCAAAAACAUCGCCUCUUGCAAAAUUAACGAAUAAGAGGUCCUGCCUGCCCUGUGACCAUGAGUUCAACGGCCGCGGUAUUUUGACCGUGCAAAGGUAGCGCAAUCACUUGUCUUUUAAAUGAAGACCCGUAUGAAUGGCAAGACGAGGGCUUAGCUGUCUCCUUUUUCAAGUCAAUGAAAUUGAUCUUCCCGUGCAGAAGCGGGAAUUCCGACAUAAGACGAGAAGACCCUAUGGAGCUUUAGACACCAAGACAGACCACGUCAAAACUCCCUAAUAAAGGACCGAACUAAAUGGACCCUGUCCUAAUGUCUUUGGUUGGGGCGACCACGGGGAAAUACAAAACCCCCGCGUGGAAUGGGAGUACCCUUGCUCCUACAACUGAGAGCUUCCGCUCUAAUAAACAGAAUUUCUGACCAACAAGAUCCGGCAACGCCGAUCAACGAACCGAGUUACCCUAGGGAUAACAGCGCAAUCCUCUUUUAGAGCCCAUAUCGACAAGGGGGUUUACGACCUCGAUGUUGGAUCAGGACAUCCUAAUGGUGCAGCCGCUAUUAAGGGUUCGUUUGUUCAACGAUUAAAGUCCUACGUGAUCUGAGUUCAGACCGG
rnacentral:rRNA from 1 species